UACGUAGGGGGCGAGCGUUGUCCGGAUUUAUUGGGCGUAAAGAGCGUGUAGGCGGCCAGGUAGGUCUGCUGUGAAAACUCGAGGCUCAACCUCGAGACGUCGGCGGAAACCAUCUGGCUAGAGUCCGGAAGAGGAGAGUGGAAUUCCUGGUGUAGCGGUGAAAUGCGCAGAUAUCAGGAGGAACACCGGUGGCGAAGGCGGAUCUCUGGGCCUUACCUGACGCUGAGGCGCGAAAGCUAGGGGAGCGAACAGG
rnacentral:rRNA from 1 species